AGUCGAGCGGCAGCGCGGGGCAACCUGGCGGCGAGCGGCGAACGGGUGAGUAAUACAUCGGAACGUGCCCAAGUGUGGGGGAUAGCCCGGCGAAAGCCGGAUUAAUACCGCAUACGAUCUAAGGAUGAAAGCGGGGGAUCGCAAGACCUCGCGCACUUGGAGCGGCUGAUGGCAGAUUAGGUAGUUGGUGGGGUAAAGGCCUACCAAGCCUACGAUCUGUAGCUGGUCUGAGAGGACGACCAGCCACACUGGGACUGAGACACGGCCCAGACUCCUACGGGAGGCAGCAGUGGGGAAUUUUGGACAAUGGGCGAAAGCCUGAUCCAGCCAUUCCGCGUGCAGGAUGAAGGCCCUCGGGUUGUAAACUGCUUUUGUACAGAACGAAAAGGCUCUGGUUAAUACCUGGGGCUCAUGACGGUACUGUAAGAAUAAGCACCGGCUAACUACGUGCCAGCAGCCGCGGUAAUACGUAGGGUGCAAGCGUUAAUCGGAAUUACUGGGCGUAAAGCGUGCGCAGGCGGUUUUGUAAGACAGAGGUGAAAUCCCCGGGCUCAACCUGGGAACUGCCUUUGUGACUGCAAGGCUGGAGUACGGCAGAGGGGGAUGGAAUUCCGCGUGUAGCAGUGAAAUGCGUAGAUAUGCGGAGGA
rnacentral:rRNA from 1 species